AACGCGAAGAACCUUACCAGCUUUUGACAUGUCGCGUAUGGGUUCCAGAGAUGGAGUCCUUCAGUUCGGCUGGCGCGAACACAGGUGCUGCAUGGCUGUCGUCAGCUCGUGUCGUGAGAUGUUGGGUUAAGUCCCGCAACGAGCGCAACCCACGUCCCUAGUUGCCAUCAUUCAGUUGGGCACUCCAGGGAGACUGCCGGUGAUAAGCCGAGAGGAAGGUGUGGAUGACGUCAAGUCCUCAUGGCCCUUACGGGCUGGGCUACACACGUGCUACAAUGGCGGUGACAAUGGGACGCGAAGGGGUGACCCUUAGCAAAUCUCAAAAAGCCGUCUCAGUUCGGAUUGCACUCUGCAACUCGAGUGCAUGAAGGUGGAAUCGCUAGUAAUCGUAGAUCAGAACGCUACGGUGAAUACGUUCCCGGGCCUUGUACACACCGCGAGC
rnacentral:rRNA from 1 species